GGGAACGUGGCUCAGUGGUAGAGUGCUUGCCUUGCAUGCAUGAGGCCCUGGGUUCAAUUCCUCAGCACCA
rfam:Dipodomys ordii contig_96867, whole genome shotgun sequence.